GCGUCGGUGGUGUAGUGGUAAGCGCGGUUGCCUUUCACCCCAGUCCAGUCGGUCGGGGUUCAAUUCCCGUCGACGCU
rnacentral:tRNA from 1 species